GGUCCUGUAGCUCAGGUGGUAGAGCGCGGGUCUUAUAAACCCGUGGUCGAGGGAUCGAUGCCCUCCAGGACCA
rnacentral:tRNA from 1 species